CCAAUAGCGUAUAUUAAAGUUGUUGCAGUUAAAAAGCUCGUAGUUGAAUUUCGGGGUCAGUAGGUUGGUCGUGCCACUGGUAUGCACUGGUCUCACUGAUUCCUCCUUCCUGAUGAGCCGUAAUGCCAUUAAUUUGGUGUUGCGGGGAAUCUGGACUGUUACUUUGAAAAAAUUAGCUUGUUUAAAGCAGGCUAACGCUUGAAUACAUUAGCACGGAAUCAUGAGAUAGGACUAUCGAUCCUAUUUUGUUGGUUUCUAGGAUUGACGUAAUGAUUAAUAGGGAUAGUUGGGGGCAUUAGUAUUCAAUUGUCAGAGGUGAAAUUCUUGGAUUUAUUGAAGACUAACUACUGCGAAAGCAUUUGCCAAGGAUGUUUUCAUUAAUCAAGAACGAAAGUUAGGGGAUCGAAGACGAUCAGAUACCGUCGUAGUCUUAACCAUAAACUAUGCCGACUAGGGAUCGGAUGAUGUUAAUUUUUUAAUGACUCAUUCGGCGCCUUACG
rnacentral:rRNA from 1 species